rnacentral:lncRNA from 1 species
UAGGAUGGAUGCAAAUAAGAAUUAGGUACAAGAAUAUGUUUUUCUUUUUCCUCUCUUUUUUUUAAGGCAAAGAAAAGAGAAAUGGUUAAACUUGGCCUAAAGCAAAUUAUUGAUUAUUUAAUUAAAUAAAUACUAAUGGAGCUUGCAAAGGGAAAGACAUUACCUCAUUAAGAGUACAUUAAAGCACUAUCUUAUCUUCUAGCAA